UCUACCCUCAACUCUUCUCCCAUUCUAAAGAUCAAGAACAUAUCCUAAAUAUUUCUUAAGUACUUAAGGAUAUUCUUCAUAGUUAUCCGGUGCUUUUAUCUUGAAUUCGAUCGAUAUUUGCUCGUGACACUCACAGCAAGGGUUAUAUCAUGUGUGUACACAUCAUGACAUUCAUGAGACUUUCAAUAGCUAAAGCAUAAGAGAUC
rnacentral:lncRNA from 1 species